CUAUUCCGUAGUCUUCUUGACUUCUCCGGAUGUUCUUUUUUCACACAAGUGAUAAUGUUUUUGGCCGAUCCCCUUUCUUCUUCCCUUUUUUUCUUCUUCAGUGAAAAUUUGCUACUGCUGGAUAGCUCCCAUCUGCAUUCGUCCUAUCCUGAAGCCACCCCCGCACCUGGUGCUUCCACAGGUUGCCCAUCGACGGCGGCUAGUUUUCCUCCUCGUACACCUCCUGUGGGUUGGUAAAUGGGGAUCUGGUGCGCCAGUUAGGAGGCGAGAUGGUCGAUCUGCACGGUGUCGUUGAUGUUGUGGUCUGUGCAAUUGAUUCGGUGAUGGAUUUCAUCUCCCGCAGGGCUGAGGAAGACUUUAGAUGCAUUUGUUGUGCAUAGUGAUAGCCCUGAUGGAGCUGAUGCCAUGGGGACAGAAACCCACUAUAGCAUCUGAGGCUGAUCAAAUAUGGAAGCCAUCUAUGUCUGUUUCUCUGUAUUUGUUUGUUCGUGAUGAAACUUAUGAAGCUUACUUGAUGUUGAUCGAUUGCUCGACGGUACCUGUAUUGUGGUCGCUGGAGGAAGACAAUUCUGUAGUCGAAGUUUUGGUCGCUGGAGGAAGAUGAGGAAGAUAUUGCAGAAUUGUACUCUAAAAUCUAGAGGACAAUGAACCUUCCUAAAAUCUAAAAAGUGGCCGCGCACUAACUAAACGAACCGGGCGGCCGAUUUGUGGCCGUCCGAUCUCGCUCGAAUUGUCGUGCGCGUGGGCCAGGUGCCAGAUGGUCGGGACGCUCACACGACUGACUGAGGCGAAAUAGUAGACCACUUCCGUCCGCACCCAUCGCUAUCCACUCGCCUCCCCACCUCCCUCGCAUUUGUCGCCGCCUCCGCCGGUCCGCCCCAACUUGUGCCGGCCGCCGCUGCCGAUCCACCUCGCCUCGGCCGACGCGGCCCACCACGGUUGCGGCAUCUCGCCUGCCACGCCUCGACGCCGCCGUCUCCCGUCCGCCACCUCGCCUUUUCUUCUGCAUCUAGCCGUCGGUCCUCCGCGAACGGCCCUUCCCUCGCCUCCUUGCUAAUUAGUCCGUGCGAGAGCGAAGAAGGUGUCUCCCCUAUCCACGAAUUUCAGCAAGCACUCAAUCUACAAGCUCACCCGUACAGCCGGUGCUCCGUACUUCUACAUCCUUUCAUGAAAUUUCAGUGAGAAGGAAGCCUGUGCGCGUGUGUGGUUGCUGCUAUGUUCCCAUUCGAGUUGUGCGUAUGCGCUGCUGCAUCCAGAUCCAUCCUCAAUGGAGGUUUGCUGCCAGGUUUAUUUGUCAAGAACCUGACGUAGAUUCUGCACAUAAUUCAAUGCUACAAUUCUUAUACACUGCUAUUUGGAUGAAGAAAGAAGAUUCAGAUGGCAGAAAAUAGUUUUCAUCUUUUUCUGUUUUUUCUUUAGUAUUUUGAACAUAUUUUCCCUACUGCAUUUUCUAUGUGACAAGACUAUGUACGCUUGAUGUUACUAUGUUUUGUGCUUUAUUAGUCUGCUUUGUUUUUGUUGCACAGAUUGCAGCAAAAGUUGGCAUGGAUCCAUGUGUGGUUGCACAAAUAUCAUUUCUUUUGCACAGACACUACAUGCAGUUUUAUUGUUCUAUCUGCAACUACACAUUGUGU